rnacentral:rRNA from 1 species
GACGAACGCUGGCGGCGUGCUUAACACAUGCAAGUGGAGCGACGAACCGGGGGCUUGCCCCGGGGCAGAGCCGCGAACGGGUGAGUAACACGUGGGUAACCCACCCCGAUGACCGGGACAACCCGAGGAAACUCGGGCUAAUACCGGAUGUGCUCCUUGACCUCGAGGUCAAGGCGUAAAGAUAGCUUCGGCCUUGCAUCGGGACGGGCCCGCGGCCCAUUAGCUUGUUGGUGGGGUAAAGGCCUACCAAGGCGACGANGGGUAGCUGGUCUGAGAGGACGAUCAGCCACACUGGGACUGAGGCACGGCCCAGACUCCUACGGGAGGGCAGCAGUGGGGAAGUCUUGCGCAAUGCGCGAAAGCGUGACGCAGCAACGCCGCGUGGGGAAGACGGCC